rnacentral:lncRNA from 1 species
ACUGAAUUCAUUGCAAAUCUUGAUGAAGUGUGUGGAGAUUGUUUUGCAUGGUAUUUCAAGACUUCGAUAUCGUGUCUUAAGUCAUAGAGUUUGUAUUAGGAUGUGAAAAAUGUAUUUUUGGAUCGAUCAUGCAGAAGAUUAUUGUUUUGUGAUUGCAAUAAUCUUCUUAUUUUAUUUUUUGGAUGAGUAUUGUAAUAUUUUGUAUUUUGUCACGAAAUCGUCAAAGGGGGAGAUUGUUAAGGAUUUUAUUAAGUUGGCGACUUUCGUGAAGUUUUGGACGGAGUCUCGAAGAGUUAGAAGACGAAGGUUGAAGAAAGAAUUGGAGUUUGGCGAUCAAAGACCCUUAGGAUCUCAGGUAUGAUUAUAAAUAAUUUGUGGUGAUGUUUUAUUGUUAAAAGGUGUUUAGAAGACUUGGUUUCUAUUUUUGUUGAUCAAACUAAUGUUUU